rnacentral:lncRNA from 1 species
AGCCAUGGCGGCGGCACUGAAGUGUCUACUGACAUUAGGAAGAUGGUGCCCCGGCCUUGGAGUGGCUCCCCAGGCCCGGGCGCUCGCCGCCUUAGUACCCGGAGUGACCCAGGUAGAUAACAAGUCCGGUUUCCUGCAGAAGAGGCCUCAUCGCCAGCACCCUGGCAUCCUAAAGCUGCCGCACGUGCGGCUGCCACAGGCACUGGCUAACGGUGCCCAGUUAUUGCUACUUGGUGAGUAACGGCGGGAAAGCGAGAAGAAACGGGACUGGACCUACAUGCAAGUGAUUCCGCUUUUCGUCUUUGGCCCAUAGGGAGCGCUGGGCCCACUAUGGAGAAUCAGGUGCAAACACUGACCAGUUAUCUCUGGAGCAGACAUUUGCCUGUAGAGCCAGAGGAGUUGCAAAGACGGGCUAGGCAUCUUGAGAAAAAAUUCCUGGAAAACCCAGGUAGGACUUAAGAAUAAUUAAAAAGUGGGCGAGAUUGAAAUAUCGGUUAGAAAUGAAGAGUAAGAAAUAAUUCUACAAUCUCUCAGAUACUGAAGUCUCUUAUUUGACUUUCUAACCAGAGCAGCAGUUGUUAC